AUGUUCGAGUAUCUAAAUGUUGUCAGCAAGAUGUUUGAUAGCGAGGCUGAAGGCUAUGAAUUCUACAACAAAUAUGCUCUUGAAAAAGGUUUUAGUGUGAGGAAAAGCUACGUUGAGUGGGAUGGAUCCAACAAAUACAUAAUUUUAAGGAAAAUUGUGUGUAGUCGUCAAGGGUUUCACAAAGAGAAGCACAUGAAAAGAAAGAUGGAAGAUAGAAAGAGGAGGCCACGAAGUUUAACUUGUGUUGGGUGUAAUGCUAAAUUGGUCAUUACGAGACAGGAGGAAACCGGUCUAUGGUUUGUCAAGGAUUUCAUCGAUGAGCACAGCCAUCCUCUAGCCCCACGGGAUCUUUCUUGUCUGUUGCGUUCACACAGACGAAUUAGCGAUGAGCAGAAAGCGAACAUUGCGGACAUGGAAAAAUGUGGGAUCUGCAAAUGCCGUAUUAUGGAUAUUUUGUGCUUUCAAUAUGGUGGAUUUGAUAAGGUUGGAUGCAUAAAGAGGGACAUUUAUAAUUUUUGCCAUGCCAAUAAGAGGGAGACAAUCAGCACCGGCGAUGCUAAUACGGUGAUCAUGCACAUGAUGGCGAGGCGAGAGCGAGAUGUGGAUUUUUUCUUCAAGUACUUGGUAGACGAGCAUGGCCAAGGGACUGUUCUGGGCUGA
rnacentral:rRNA from 1 species